rnacentral:lncRNA from 1 species
UGAUUGCUGCUCUGACAGGUAGUGUUGUUGUAUGUAUUGAGAUAAUCCUGACAGGUCACUAUAGGAAAGGUGAUCAUUUUGUGCAUGCAUCAUGCCAAAAUUUUUCAGAAUUUAUUGAUGAUUGAUAGGUAGUAGGGUUCUAUGUGGUGGCUGGUGGCCUUAUGCCUACCCGCACCCUAGGACCGUCGUGGCGGCCCGCCGGAACAGGGCGGGGAUCGUGACACUCUUGUACAAUGCUUCUCAAGCAUGUUGCAGUGCUACUUGGUCUCUAAGUCAUGAAGACCUCACCUAACAGUUAUUGGUCCCAUUUCUUAGUUAAGUCAG